rnacentral:tRNA from 1 species
GCCUUCGUGGUGCAGUGGUCAGCAUGCUCGGUGCGUAUUCGAGAGGUCCGUGGUUCGAGUCUUGGCGAGGGGA